rnacentral:pre_miRNA from 1 species
AUCAUACUCCAUCCGUCCCAAAAUUCUUGUCUUAAAUUUGUCUAGAUAUGGAUGUAUCUAACACUAAAAUGUAACUAGAUACAUCCGUAUUUAGACAAAUCUAAGACAAGAAUUUUGGGACGGAGGGAGUACAUC